rnacentral:rRNA from 1 species
UAGGGAAUCUUCGGCAAUGGACGAAAGUCUGACCGAGCAACGCCGCGUGAGUGAAGAAGGUUUUCGGAUCGUAAAACUCUGUUGUUAAAGAAGAACAUAUCUGAGAGUAACUGUUCAGGUAUUGACGGUAUUUAACCAGAAAGCCACGGCUAACUACGUGCCAG